GUGAACGCUGGCGGUAGGCCUAACACAUGCAAGUCGCACGGCAGCACAGUAAGAGCUUGCUCUUACGGGUGGCGAGUGGCGGACGGGUGAGGAAUACAUCGGAAUCUACUUUUUCGUGGGGGAUAACGUAGGGAAACUUACGCUAAUACCGCAUACGACCUACGGGUGAAAGCAGGGGAUCUUCGGACCUUGCGCGAUUGAAUGAGCCGAUGUCGGAUUAGCUAGUUGGCGGGGUAAAGGCCCACCAAGGCGACGAUCCGUAGCUGGUCUGAGAGGAUGAUCAGCCACACUGGAACUGAGACACGGUCCGGACUCCUACGGGAGGCAGCAGUGGGGAAUAUUGGACAAUGGGCGCAAGCCUGAUCCAGCCAUACCGCGUGGGUGAAGAAGGCCUUCGGGUUGUAAAGCCCUUUUGUUGGGAAAGAAAAGCAGCAGGUUAAUACCCCGCUGUUCUGACGGUACCCAAAGAAUAAGCACCGGCUAACUUCGUG
rnacentral:rRNA from 1 species